AACGAACGCUGGCGGCAUGCCUAACACAUGCAAGUCGAACGAGACCUUCGGGUCUAGUGGCGCACGGGUGCGUAACGCGUGGGAAUCUGCCCUUGGGUUCGGAAUAACAGCGAGAAAUUGCUGCUAAUACCGGAUGAUGACGUAAGUCCAAAGAUUUAUCGCCCAAGGAUGAGCCCGCGUAGGAUUAGCUAGUUGGUGAGGUAAAGGCUCACCAAGGCGACGAUCCUUAGCUGGUCUGAGAGGAUGAUCAGCCACACUGGGACUGAGACACGGCCCAGACUCCUACGGGAGGCAGCAGUGGGGAAUAUUGGACAAUGGGCGAAAGCCUGAUCCAGCAAUGCAGCGUGAGUGAUGAAGGCCUUAGGGUUGUAAAGCUCUUUUACCCGGGAUGAUAAUGACAGUACCGGGAGAAUAAGCUCCGGCUAACUCCGUGCCAACAGCCGCGGUAAU
rnacentral:rRNA from 1 species